AACAUCGACCUUCAGCAAACAACCAGCCAAAAAUCGACCAAAAUCCAUCAACUUCGCGACUCGUCCAGUCAACCUUAACCCGAAAUUCGGCGAAAAACAGCUUCCGAACGUCGACCCGCCUAGAUGGCGUGUGUUUGUUACAAAAAUUCAAGAAAGUUUAUAGAAAUGGGUGAGCUGGCUCACCCUCGCGAAUCUCGGAUGAGGCUGUACGAUUUCGUACAAGGGUGGAAAAUUUUCAUUGGCUUGUGAAGAUGAUUCCAUUUUCUUAAAUUUCUAUUGGCCAUUUUUGGAAAUCCGUUCAUGAAAAUCAACAAGGGGGUACGAUUUGUUAGCAUUCUCAUCUUUUGAAUUCAAAAAAUGAACCCUCAAUCCCCCUUUCUAUAAAUAGCUCUCUCUGGAGCAAGAAAAGAGAGGAUGGUUUUCUUCUGGGUCACCGUUUUUAGGGUUUGAAAUUUUGGGUCUGGGAAUAGGGGGAUUUUCUCUUUUAGGCUCUUAGGUUGAAAAACUAGUGUUGGGAAAUUUUGAGGUCUGAUAAGGAAAGUAAAGGUUCUGAGGAUUUUUGGUUUGAAUUUUUUGGGUUCCAAAAGAGGUGGGAGAAAAUUUUGGGAUCAAAACAGUUCCCUUAGUGAAAACUUUCUUUUUCGUUCUUCUUUCUGAAAGUUGGUUGACUAAUCGGAGAUUAUCAAGUUGAUAACGCUGAUUUCCGGUGGUGGCGGAUUUCGACAGUUAGCUCUUAGUCCUAUUUGCUGCUCCAAAAAAGGUGAAGCGAGACUCGAGCCAAAAGGGGUUAAAAACUAGAUUAGGACAGGUGAAAUGGACGAAAGCCCAAUUUGGCUAGGACAGGUCUCAUUGAUUUGGGCCCACUGACCUAAAUCCCUUACUUUCUCCCCUUCCCCUUUUUCUUUACGCUUGUUUGCCUUAUGUGUUUUGUGAACCUAGUUAAAUUCUUAGUCAAGUCACUAAAAACUGGUUUUGCA